AUGCUCCCUUCGGCAGCACAUACACUAAAACUGAAACAAUAGAGCAAUUAGCAUGUCCCCUGCAUAAGGAUGACAUGCAAAUUCAUGAAGCAUUCCACAUUUUU
ensembl:snRNA U6 U6 spliceosomal RNA